AAUGGUAUAGCUCAACUGGUAGAGUGCCUGCUUAGCAUGCAUGAGGUCCUGGGUUCAAUCCCCAGUACCUCCA
rnacentral:tRNA from 1 species